GAAACACGGACCAAGGAGUCUAGCAUGUGCGCGAGUCAUUGGGACUCUGUUAAACCUAAAGGCGCAAUGAAAGUAAAGGUCCGCCUCGCGCGGACCGAGGGAGGAUGGGCCCGUCCCCGGACGGGCCCCGCACUCCCGGGGCGUCUCGUCCUCAUCGCGAGGAGAGGCGCACCCAGAGCGUACACGCUGGGACCCGAAAGAUGGUGAACUAUGCCUGGUCAGGACGAAGUCAGGGGAAACCCUGAUGGAGGUCCGUAGCGAUUCUGACGUGCAAAUCGAUCGUCGGAACUGGGUAUAGGGGCGAAAGACUAAUCGAACCUUCUAGUAGCUGG
rnacentral:rRNA from 2 species